rnacentral:sRNA from 1 species
ACUUGCUUGUAGUCAAACAGAAGGCAGAGCUGCGAAUCAAAUCCAGGUUUGUCUCGACAUGCCACUAGCUCAUACUUCCCUUGGAUCAGCCACUAAAUGGCUUUCACUCCAGUGAGCAGCGACCAGCACCAGAAUUAUGGAACAUUUAUCAACAGCCUAAAAUAAAGACAACACGAGGAGAAUUUGGUUGCUUAUAUAGAUUCAAGAUACAAUCCUGCUGGAUUCUGGGAUUACAGGACUGUAGACAAAAGAGAAAUCAUCAUGGACUGUUCACUGGACAAAAUUUCAUGGAGAGGAGAAGACCUUUGGCGGUUCAUGGAUGUUCUAUAAUAAGUUAGAAGUACGACCAUGUGAAGAGGUAGCAAGAGAGCAGCAAUCUACAAGCCAAGGAAAGAGGCCACAGAGGAAACCAACCCUGCCAGCAUCUUGAUCUUGGACUUCCAGCUUCCAGAACUAACCAGGGACCCCACUCCCAUGCCGACAGUAUGGGCUGCUGUCUUCAGGACCAUUGCAAGUGUCCUUCAUGGUUCGGUUCACAUUUCACAAGCCCCAUGAAGUCUAUCUGGAUUUUCGGUAAUGUUUCCUGUCUCUGAAAUCUUAUGACAUUUAUGUCUGUAUCAGCCAUUUGAUGCUUGAUUAUCUAUUUUUCAGAUGGAUGUCUUGCCUUUUCCUCUACACACUACAGGAAGAGUGGCCACCCCUGCCAAGGGCCUAGUAUAGUACCCUAUACAUGUAGCUGAUCAGUUGAUUGUUACUGAUCAUAUGUAUCCUGCAUCAUGUUAUAAAAAAUUAACACAGUGCUUGGCACAUACUUGUACUGAAUGUCAGAGCUGCAGCAUGAUCUGGAGGCUUUCCUCGCUUUCUUCUGCUUCCCCUCCCUUGAUCCUUCACAGGCAUUUUCCUCAAUACAUCUCUUGCCUGGCUAA